rnacentral:rRNA from 1 species
GUCUACAGCCAUACCACCCUGAACGCGCCCGAUCUCGUCUGAUCUCGGAAGCUAAGCAGGGUCGAGCCUGGUUAGUACUUGGAUGGGAGAAUUGACAUCUGUACCUC